UCCUGGCUCAGGAUGAACGCUAGCUACAGGCUUAACACAUGCAAGUCGAGGGGCAUCAGGAAGAAAGCUUGCUUUCUUUGCUGGCGACCGGCGCACGGGUGAGUAACACGUAUCCAACCUGCCCUUUACUCGGGGAUAGCCUUUCGAAAGAAAGAUUAAUACCCGAUAGCAUAAUGAUUCCGCAUGGUUUCAUUAUUAAAGGAUUCCGGUAGAGGAUGGGGAUGCGUUCCAUUAGGUUGUUGGUGAGGUAACGGCUCACCAAGCCUUCGAUGGAUAGGGGUUCUGAGAGGAAGGUCCCCCACAUUGGAACUGAGACACGGUCCAAACUCCUACGGGAGGCAGCAGUGAGGAAUAUUGGUCAAUGGGCGCUAGCCUGAACCAGCCAAGUAGCGUGAAGGAUGAAGGCUCUAUGGGUCGUAAACUUCUUUUAUAUAAGAAUAAAGUGCAGUAUGUAUACUGUUUUGUAUGUAUUAUAUGAAUAAGGAUCGGCUAACUCCGUGCCAGCAGCCGCGGUAAUACGGAGGAUCCGAGCGUUAUCCGGAUUUAUUGGGUUUAAAGGGAGCGUAGGUGGACUGGUAAGUCAGUUGUGAAAGUUUGCGGCUCAACCGUAAAAUUGCAGUUGAUACUGUCAGUCUUGAGUACAGUAGAGGUGGGCGGAAUUCGUGGUGUAGCGGUGAAAUGCUUAGAUAUCACGAAGAACUCCGAUUGCGAAGGCAGCUCACUGGACUGCAACUGACACUGAUGCUCGAAAGUGUGGGUAUCAAACAGGAUUAGAUACCCUGGUAGUCCACACAGUAAACGAUGAAUACUCGCUGUUUGCGAUAUACAGUAAGCGGCCAAGCGAAAGCAUUAAGUAUUCCACCUGGGGAGUACGCCGGCAACGGUGAAACUCAAAGGAAUUGACGGGGGCCCGCACAAGCGGAGGAACAUGUGGUUUAAUUCGAUGAUACGCGAGGAACCUUACCCGGGCUUAAAUUGCAGUGGAAUGAUGUGGAAACAUGUCAGUGAGCAAUCACCGCUGUGAAGGUGCUGCAUGGUUGUCGUCAGCUCGUGCCGUGAGGUGUCGGCUUAAGUGCCAUAACGAGCGCAACCCUUAUCUUUAGUUACUAACAGGUUAUGCUGAGGACUCUAGAGAGACUGCCGUCGUAAGAUGUGAGGAAGGUGGGGAUGACGUCAAAUCAGCACGGCCCUUACGUCCGGGGCUACACACGUGUUACAAUGGGGGGUACAGAAGGCAGCUAGCGGGUGACCGUAUGCUAAUCCCAAAAGCCUCUCUCAGUUCGGAUCGAAGUCUGCAACCCGACUUCGUGAAGCUGGAUUCGCUAGUAAUCGCGCAUCAGCCACGGCGCGGUGAAUACGUUCCCGGGCCUUGUACACACCGCCCGUCAAGCCAUGGGAGCCGGGGGUACCUGAAGUACGUAACCGCAAGGAUCGUCCUAGGGUAAAACUGGUGACUGGGGCUAAGUCGUAACAAGGUA
rnacentral:rRNA from 1 species